AUUGAACGCUGGCGGAAUGCUUUACACAUGCAAGUCGAGCGGCAGCGCGGGGCAACCUGGCGGCGAGCGGCGAACGGGUGAGUAAUGCAUCGGAACGUACCCCGUCGUGGGGGAUAACUACCCGAAAGGGUAGCUAAUACCGCAUACGACCUGAGGGUGAAAGCGGGGGACCGAAAGGCCUCGCGCGAUGGGAGCGGCCGAUGCCGGAUUAGCUAGUUGGUAGGGUAAAGGCCUACCAAGGCGACGAUCCGUAGCUGGUCUGAGAGGACGACCAGCCACACUGGAACUGAGACACGGUCCAGACUCCUACGGGAGGCAGCAGUGGGGAAUUUUGGACAAUGGGCGAAAGCCUGAUCCAGCCAUUCCGCGUGAGUGAAGAAGGCCUGG
rnacentral:rRNA from 1 species